rnacentral:rRNA from 1 species
UCCUGGGGCUGAAGUAGGUCCCAAGGGUAUGGCUGUUCGCCAUUUAAAGUGGUACGCGAGCUGGGUUUAGAACGUCGUGAGACAGUUCGGUCCCUAUCUGCCGUGGGCGCUGGAGAAUUGAGGGGGGCUGCUCCUAGUACGAGAGGACCGGAGUGGACGCAUCACUGGUGUUCGGGUUGUCAUGCCAAUGGCACUGCCCGGUAGCUAAAUGCGGAAGAGAUAAGUGCUGAAAGCAUCUAAGCACGAAACUUGCCCCGAGAUGAGUUCUCCCUGACUCCUUGAGAGUCCUGAAGGAACGUUGAAGACGACGACGUUGAUAGGCCGGGUGUGUAAGCGCAGCGAUGCGUUGAGCUAACCGGUACUAAUGAACCGUGAGGCUUAACCUUACAACGCCGAAG